UACGAGUAUAUUUAUUAGAAAGUAUUUCAAUCGUGAAAGCAUGUGCUAAUACGCACGCGCGUAUACGUAAUAAAUGUACGUAAUUAUAAUAUAUGUAAUAAUAAAUAUAAAAACGUGAAUUUAUAAUCAGGGGACCGUUGUCAGGAACAUCUGAACUCAAUUUUUUUGCAAAGGUCAGACAGAUAGGCAGUGGCCUUAUACACAUUCCGACAGUGGCCCGCAGGCGUAGGGGCCUACAAAUCAUACGCGGAAAAUCACGGGGGACGUGUUCAGAAACAUGACUUAUCAGUGACUGAGUGGAAUAUUAACUAGAUCCAAUGUAUUAUUUAUAUAUGAAAUUUAUAACGACAUUCGUUUAUAAAAGGCCGACCGAUGAAUUAUUUUACCAUAAGGCCAAAAUUCCAUUUACAAUUGAUAUACAUUGGUGGUUUUACUCAAAGCUUUUAAUCACGCGUUCAUGCUUUAAUUUAACCAAUAUAUCCUCUAAUAACAUUCAAAUAAUAAAAAU